rnacentral:rRNA from 1 species
UAGGGAAUCUUCCGCAAUGGACGAAAGUCUGACGGAGCAACGCCGCGUGAGUGAAGAAGGAUUUCGGUUCGUAAAACUCUGUUGUUAGGGAAGAAAAAAUGUAUAGUAACUAUAUACAAAAGAGACGGUACCUAACCAGAAAGCCACGGCUAACUACGUGCCAGCAGCCGCGGUAAUACGUAGGUGGCAAGCGUUGUCCGGACUUAUUGGGCGUAAAGCGCGCGCAGGUGGUUUAGAAAGUCUGAUGUGAAAGCCCACGGCUCAACCGGGGAGGGUCAUUGGAAACUAAUAAACUUGAGUGCAGGAGAGAAAAGUGGAAUUCCUGGUGUAGCGGUGAAAUGCGUAGAGAUUAGGAGGAACACCGGUGGCGAAAGCGGCUUUUUGGCCUGCAACUGACACUGAGGCGCGAAAGCGUGGGGAGCAAACAGG